ACGGGGGCCCGCACAAGCAGCGGAGCAUGUGGUUUAAUUCGAAGCAACGCGAAGAACCUUACCUAGACUUGACAUCUCCUGAAUUACCCGUAACUGGGGAAGCUCUUCGGAGCAGGAAGACAGGUGGUGCAUGGUUGUCGUCAGCUCGUGUCGUGAGAUGUUGGGUUAAGUCCCGCAACGAGCGCAACCCUUAUCGUUAGUUGCUACCAUUAAGUUGAGCACUCUAGCGAGACUGCCCGGGUUAACCGGGAGGAAGGUGGGGAUGACGUCAAAUCAUCGUGCCCCUUAUGUCUAGGGCUACACACGUGCUACAAUGGUGAGGACAAAGAGACGCAAGACCGCGAGGUGGAGCAAAUCUCACAAACCUCAUCCCAGUUCGGAUCGAAGGCUGCAACUCGCCUUCGUGAAGUCGGAGUUGCUAGUAAUCGCGGAUCAGCAUGCCGCGGUCGAAUACGUUCCCGGGCCUU
rnacentral:rRNA from 1 species